rnacentral:misc_RNA from 1 species
GUGAAUCAUCGAAUCUUUGAACGCAAAUUGCACUCUCUUCGAAGAGUUUGCCUGUUUGAGGGUCAGCCUCAAAUAAAUCGUCAACGUUGCUGUUUCGCGGUGGCGUUCGUCGGAAACUGGGUUAUCUUAAAUCUUUGGAAUAAGAGUCUUAAACUGUUCUUUUCGUUUUAAUGAACGUAUC